GUGAUAUAAAACAAAUUUCUCCAAAUGCGUGUGAUGAAUGGGGGAAUGUUUUCAAUCAGACUAAUUAGGGCACAAUUACCAUUUUUCAACAAAGUGUGAUCAGAUUUUCAAUUAUGGAAAUGAAGAUCACAGAUUACAGAAGCCGCGUGAAGAUGAGAUUUCCGAUGCAGAAGCUCAUACGCUCGAAGAUGAAGAAGGCAGUGACGGCACUACGAAAAUUAAAACCGCGCAGAAUGGAAAAAAAGUGAUUUUAGCAACUGAGGUGAAUGAUGUUUUUCGAACACAGUUACAUCGGAGUAGCCUAAUUUGCAUAGUGCAUAAGCAGCCGAGAGUCCACUGGGGCCCGCUCCGAUUAUUGCAAUCCUUGUUCGUGGAGGAAAGCAAGGGUGCAUCUUCGAGAAUUUAUCGUCCACCGAUUUUUCGUCCAUUUUUUCCGAGGCUUUUUCCACUCUGUAGGUAACAAAUUUUUAAAUUAAAGCCAUUUAGUUGAAGAUAAUACAAAAUGCAUGUAUAUAAUCCAAUUAGUAGAAAACAUGCAGAUAGUUUUGUUGAAUAUUUGCGUGAAGAAUUUUCAAAUGAAAUUGAAAAAGAAGAAAAUUAAGAAUCAAGAAUAAAGCAACAAUUGCUUACUUUUCGUGCUAUGGCUAGACGAUAAGCGGAAUUAAGAAACGGUGUUAGUUUUUGUUUUUAUUUUUAUUUUUAUUUUUUAUGAAGUGUUAUAAUUGUGAGAAAGAGACUGAAAAGCUCGACAUGUUUAUAUAGCAGAAGCAUAGUGAAAUAACCUAGUACAUGCAUAUAUACGGCAUCUAGAUGGUCAAAUUUUAUUAAUUAUUUAUUUUCCUAAUAAUUAUCCUUAAUCUUGACAAAGUCUA